rnacentral:tRNA from 1 species
GCCUGGGUGGCUCAGUUGGUUGAGCGUCUGACUUCAGCUCAGGUCAUGAUCUCACAGCUCGUGGGUUCGAGCCCCGUGUCGGGCU